AUACAUAAGUCAUUUUUGAUUGAGAUGUGCAGCAACAAUAUACGCCACUAUAAACUAUUGCAAAUAUUAAAAUAUGGGAAAUAUGGAACAGUUUACAUGGGAUAUGAUUUAAAUAAUAAAUGUUUAGCUAUUAAAAAAAUGUCUCUGGAUCAACCAAUAGAAGAGCUUACGGCAAUGUGCAAUGAAAUUUUGACUAUUCGUCGUUUUAAGCAUAAAAAUAUUAUCACAAUCCUUCACUGCUUUUUGUAUAAUCAGCAUGCAUAUCUGAUAUUCCCAUAUAUGUGUUUUGAAAACUGUGAAAUUCUGCUUCAAAAAGUGUAUACCUCUGGUUUUCCGGAGAUUAUGAUAGCACUUAUCAUAAAGGAUGUAUUAUCAGCUAUUACAUAUAUUCACUCUGAGAACUGUGUCCAUGGAUCUAUAAGAGCUCAGCAUGUUCUUAUAAAUUCUAGAAAAGCUGUUAUAUCAAAUUUUCGUGAUUGCCAAACUUUUAUUAAUCAAGGAGAAAAAAAGAAUGUGCUGUAUGGAUCAACGGUGGGAAAAAAAAAUCAGUUGUAUUGGAAAGCACCAGAAGUUUUAAAUCAAAACCUUUCUGGCUACACCGAAAAAAUAGACAUAUACUCCACAGGAAUCACUUGUUGUGAAAUGGCAAAUGGGUUUCAACCGUAUCAAGGCACAGAAUUAACAUACAUGUAUAUUGAAAAAGCUCGUGGAAGUCGUCCUUUGCUAUUGGAUCAGAGCAGUAUUAUGGAAGACCAAGAGUCAAGCUUACUGCCUCAAACAAAUGAACAAUUUCGCCGUGAUAUAUUUAUGAAAAAAUCGUUUUCAGAUGACUUUCAUCAGUUCGUUGAACUAUGCUUGAAUAAAAAUCCACUAUCUCGAUGGGCCACGUCAAAAUUAAUGACACACUCCUUUCUGAAGCAAUGCCGCUCUACAAGUCUUGCAGAGCACUUCAAAGAUUUCAAUCAUGAUUUGUCAAAAUGUAAAUUAAAAGAACGAGUCACAGCGAAUGAACAAAAACUAUCAAUACUGAAUGCUUUUACUUUUAAGGGGUUAUAUACCUUCUUUGUCGAAGAAAAAGAGGAAUGUUUGGAUUUUUUUUUAGAUGAAACGUUUUCUAGCGCUGACACUAACCCAAUCAGGGACAAUGAUAAUACAAUAUGGAAUUUUUAAUCAAUUUAAAUAAACUGCGUAAUAUUUUGGACAUUAAUCUACCAUUUAAAAUGGUGAGAACUAGUUUUCAUUUUUUGGACCACCCUAAUGUGCAAAGACACCGCCGUCUUACAAAUUUACGCGGUCAAAGCAGAGGAUUUUUUUUGCUGGAAAAAGGGUACAGGUGCCGCGGAAAAUUAUGCUCCGCUAGUCAUGUAUUUGUAGAGCUCGCAUGGAAACACGGCCCUCAAAAGAGACAUACGCGAUGCGCGUGUGUAUGGUCACCUAAUCCUCAGGAGCUCCAGGGGAAAAGAAGGGACAGGCCAAAAAGGCAAACGAAGAGGACAAAUAAGGCUCUCGGGUCUAAGUCCGGAUGAAUUCACAAACAGGGAACCACUAUUGGGCAGGUCCUGGAGGCGAUGAUAGACCGGGCUGAAGACUUCUCGCCGGAAGCCAGCAGCGAUACGGGUCUCCAAGAAAGAAAACUGGCGCACUACGGUGAGUUGUGCAAGGGCAGUCGGAGGUUCGGCCGCCCGACAAAAUGGCGGUACUUCUCAACGCCGCGAUGCGACGGCUGGAAAUUCCCGAGAUGAGGUGGACGUGGUAGACCGGAACGGACUCACCGGGAAGUGCUUGAUGUCGUCGGCGUCGACUGAGAAAGGCGUUUAUGGCUGGUCGUCUAUGCGGGUCGAACGGACACCGGUUGCUGGCAGCCAAGUCGGGGCUGGUACGUAUGGCGAAGUCGCGCAGAUAUCAGUAGUACUCCCAAGUAAAUAUCCCGGGGCCCUUUGUGUUGGGACCCCGGCUGCCUUUAUAAAUGAUUAUUAAUAAAUAACGAACUACCAUGUAACUUUCCUAUCACUCACUAUUAUUCAGUUUUAAGCACAACAAAAUUUAUCCUAGCACUUCCAGCUGCAUCUGCCUGGUUGGACAAUAUGGCGGCGACUAUCCUCAUAUCUGCUGAUCAUCGUUUCUCCCCCCGCCAUAUUACAUGGCCAUUCCCAAAAUUGGGUCAUUGGAUAUAUGGGGCCAUUUAAGGUAAUCCCAGAGCGAACCGGGAUUAAUCCUCAAAUGACCAGAUCACCCGCCAGAUUCAUCCCGCUGCUGAAACUAUCGACCUAACCUAUCGAUAAAGUCCCUCUCUUAUUAUCGACUCCACUUGCAACACAGUGAGCACUUGUUGCUGGCACAAGGACGCUUUGAUGGCGAUGGUAACUGCGAUGCCGGACCACAGGCGAUGCAGGGACUGCGAUGAGGUUGAGCUAAAGUAGGUUACCUGCUAGUUGGGAUAGUGUAUUUCGAGCCCUAUUUCCAGAAGUAGGAAGUAAAACCGCGGAGCUAAGAGUUGCGUUGAUAACUGAUUUAUUCUUAAAUGGAACAUGGAAGCUUAGUGUAAUGAAUAGUGAAAUGAAACAUAUUCUAAAGUACGUCAGGAGAUUUUGACUAUGAUAGCAGUUUGCGUAGUUGGCUCGGCUGACACUGCAAAAUGUGCUGAUCACAUUGGGCAGUCAAUGUGCCUUUGAGUCGGUAAGACGGUGAGGUAGUGAAACAUAAUCUAGUGAUCAGCAAUUCUCAUCUGCAGUGGGUACUGUUCCCAACAUGGCAACUGCUUGAUUUGUUGAAUGCAGGUCAUGUUGAGCCCCCUUCGGUACAAACAUUCUCCCCCCAUUGAGGGGUACCUUCAACUAAGGCGUGAUGUCGGUCAAAACUUGGCAGCAGCUAACAAAUCAUUGACCGUGUAGGAUCUUUCCUUCAGCUUCGGAGGAACAUUUUUGUAAUUAAAGUCCUUUAUAUCUUCUUGAUGCUGCUUAACGCUCCACUUUGCGACAAAAAUGGCAUUGUCGUGGGGACUGAAACUGUGCCCUCAUAGAAAUUGAUCAUUUGGCACGUCGAUGUGAUGUGGAACUUCUACAACAAAGCUUAGAUAUUUCUUGGCUAAAUUUAAAAAUGUUGUACAAAACUCUGAUUUCUUUUAGUUGUUAAGUUGAUGAAAAGUCGGUUCUAUAUUAAUUGGAUUUUCUCAUGCAGUGUCUAAUUAAGUCACCUGCAAGGAACCAUUCUAUGUAGCGAUUGAUUCUCUUUUGGACUAGUUAGUGUCGCUAAUUUUUGAUUAGCUACGUGUGUCUGCAGACUCUAUUACUUUAUGAUCUAUCAAUGCCAAGUUCGAUACAUGAAUCCCACCUUCAUCGUGGGAAAUCUCAUUCUGCUGUUUGCUAUCUUCAAUAUCAAAUUGGUUAUUAUUCACCGGAUUUUCAUCUUUCUCAUAAGCAGAGUUCGGUUCUGCAAGAUCGUCUACGUUUUGUUCCAAAAUAGGGUUCCAGUGGUUUAUCAGGUCCCAUUCUAAGAAGUUCACCGGUAAUUAAACGAUGAUAUACACCAGCCCCUAAGUUUAGGUCAAUGGGUUCAGGUUGCCGAAAGUCAGGAUCUACUAGCGGCAGAUAUUAUAAUAUUCCCUCGGGAAUAUUAAGAUCAUUUUCAAUUGGUAAUGAUGGUUUCUUUGCAAAGGCUGUGGGAAUAAUAAACACCUCUUCUGGUGUUUCAAAACCUGAUGUAGAUGACGAGAGCUUAUUGAUCUCAUUGCUGUUGUUAUUUUUCCUCCGAUUCCAGAUAUUUUAAUCGGUAAUGAAAUUUCCUUAAGAGAUAGCAAAUCUGUCAUCCUCCUUGAGAUAGGAUUCACCUAUGAUCCGGAAUCUAUUACAGCGCGACAUGUCAAAAUGUUCCCUGCGUCACCGCAGAGUGAGCCUUGUAGAAAGUGCAGCUUCUGGCUAGCAAAGUGUGGUUUAUUAUGCACUAAUUCCGCUAAUAAGUCGUGAAACCGGGGUUAAUCUAGAUAGUUAGAUAUAGGCUCAUUGGAGAGUCGUUCAUAGCAAGACGGGCAAGGUCAUAUUUUAUUCUUUACAUAAGGUCUGGAACUGACUAACUUCUUCUGUGGCGGCUGCCUCUGUCCCAUGCGUGUGCCGGACCACAGGCCGGACCAAAUUGGCUACUGCUUGAUUUGUUGGGUGCUGGUCAUGUUGAGCACCCUUGGCUACGAACAGCAAUGUUGCUGUUGAUUGCGUUCCCCCAAGCCUGGGAGCAAUAAUUUAAAAUGUGCUUAAAGUGGAAUUUUAGAGCAGAACCUUGAGGUUCAGACACAGGAGUGAUUGAGAAUUUAUAAUCCAUUGUAGGCUACUAGCUUUCAGUUUGAGAUAUCCUUUUGCUUUCAAUAUGUCUCCGCUAGUUUAGACAUCUGACAAGGUGGACGCCGAGAUAUGUUACAUCGUUGGCUUGGGGGAUCUGCGUACUGUUCAAAGUUGCGAGGGGCAGUAUUGUCUGUUAAGAGUAACGUUAUAUGUUUACACUUUUGUUAAUUAAUUUUGAUUCGUCAGUCUAAUAGCCACUUCACAACUAUCACCAGAUAAUCUGUUGAGCUGCAGCUCUAGUUGGGCAGCUCGAGCGGCCCAGGCUUGCGGUUUCGUCGGCAAAUGUGGACGUCUGCUUUCGACAGGCUAAGCAAACCCAAAGCAAAACAGACAACCAAACAACAGACAAGAACAAUCUCAAAAAAUUUCGGUACAGCCAGUGCAAGUGCAAGCAAAGCCGGCGCGCAAGUAAACCUACGUGUCAUAAAAAUUACGGCGGCGAGAUGGACCCACUAGACCCCUCUAAAAAUGUAGAACUAUUAAAAAAAUCCAGGCCCCGAAUAUGUCAUUACUAGCAGAUCUGAACCAAAGGCCUCAUUUACAUCAAAACUACCAAAAAUGCGACAAAAGAACAGCCCUUUCAAUCUUAAAGUUACGUAACAUAAACAACACCCCGCUUCCAUACUCAACCGUCACCAAAAACGUAGCUCAAGCUCAUAAAAACGCUGCACUUCAGCAAAACUCAAUACCUCAACACCUCAAAGGACCCAAUUCCACGCAAGAAGCUUCAACAACCUCCAGAAAACUAACCUCUUAUACAGAUCUUACUACGACUACAGUUAUUAAAGUAAACUCCUUAAGCUUGCCAGAAACUUCCGACGAACUUCCCCCUAACCCAGUAAAAUUCCACGCAUGCUCGGCCCCCACCGAAAUCCCACGGCAGCCAAACAUCUAGCAGCCAAAUACUUUGUUGGCAAUAAAGUUGCCAACCAAACACAAACAUUGGGACGACUAAAGAUCCAAACCCCACAUGUGCAUCCGCUCCAAUUUCAAUGCCAUUCCGCUAGGUCAGCACAUUUGCAUGUCAACAUUUAAGCAUUGAAAGACGAAUACUAAAAUAAAGAAUUCAGUUCGAUAUAUGUUGUCAAAGAAACCACAACUUGGUACUGUUAAUUAUUGGGAGGCUCCCCGAACCAAAUUGAAAUUCCUUUACUAAGCUAACUCUCGCAACGCUCAAAGCCGCAAACAAGACUUCUAAUAAAAAGAAACCAAAACAAACGCAAACCAACCUGGAGACCCCUCGUGCGACUCUUGCGACAUGGAAACCAACUAAACUCCCAACUAAACUAAUGCUCAAAAUAUUGCAAUGAAAUAAAAAAGGCUAUAGAAAUAAUCACCUAGAAUUACAAAUACUUUUUAAGAAAUUACUUACUUAUCCAACACAAUAUCCAUCUCCAUACCCAUAAACUUCAAGUCUCCCCCCAUCAAAUCUUCCCAUAGUCGUCUUCAACAGUUGGCACCGUUAUUGGGGAUCCCACUGAUCCAACUCCAGAGGCAACAUAGUGGCGAAAUUCAUAGACCGCUCAGACUACAUCCUCCUUAAUGACAUGUCUCCAAACCGCUACUCUACUCACAGCACACUGACACACAUAGACCUGUCUCUCGCUACAGCCGACAAAGCCCAAGAAAUAACAUGGAAAGUGAUUAACGACCUUCAUGGAAGCGAUCACUUCCCAUCUUGAUUUCUAUGCACGCCAUUAUUGCUCCACCUGCCACUUUUACACCUACCAUCGCUCCGUUAUGGUCGGUAGUUCAGUCUGAGGGGGGAGGAGUAACCGCCUCAGCAAUUUCCCUCGGCGAAACCCCCACGGCAGCCAAACAUCUAGCAGCCUCAGCAAUUACCCUCAGCGGGCCCUCACCGAAAUCCUAAGGCAGUCAAACAUCUAGCAGCCAAAUACUUUGUUGGCAAUAAAGUUGCAAACCAAACACAAACAUUGGGACGACUCCAGAUCCAAACCCCACAUAUGCCUCCGCUCCAAUUACAAUUCCAUUCCGCUAGGUCAGCAUAUUUGCAUGUAAACAUUUAAGCAUUGAAAGACGAAUAAUAAAAUAAAGAAUUCAGUUCGAUAUAUGUUGUCAAAGAAACCACAACU